GAUGAUUCUCGGUAAUGGAUAUCUUGGUUCUCGCAUCGAUGAAGAGCACAGUGAAAUGCGAUACGUGGUGCGAAUUGCAGAAUCCCUUGAACCAUCAAAUUUUUGAACGCAAGUUGCGUCGGAGGCCUGCUGACCGAGGGCACGUCCGCCUGGGCGUCUAGCACCGCCUCGC
rnacentral:rRNA from 1 species